CCUCGGGAAGAAAUUCAAUGACUUUCACUACCAACUUCAUAAAAUAUACUUGGGUUGUGCAACACACGAGGAGGCAUUAGUGAAAUCAACCUCAUUGGUGGAACUAGAGGUAUGAGAAAAGUUAUGUGGGAGAUGGGGGAGUGAUGAAUUCAAGAAAAUAUCCAAUCAAAAUAAGGCCAAUAGGAAAAAGCAGUGUGUGAACCACACAGCAGGUAGAAAGUCAUUUGUGAGGUUAAAACAAGAGAUGGGUCCGAGCUCAUCAAACUUGGUAAGCUUCUAUAAAGAAACUAGAUGGUCAAAGAAGAAAAGGGCAUUUGUAACUCCCAUGACAGAAACACUCUAUAACACGAUGAUUGAGAAGUUAGAUGAGAUUGAGCCUGAGGAGCGCACAAAUGAGGCUGCAAAUAUUAUAUUCAGAGACGUGCUAGGACACAUAUCUGGUUAUGCAAGAGGACUUGGUGGUUCAGUUAUACCCAAGCCUAG